rnacentral:misc_RNA from 1 species
AAGUCGUAACAAGGUUUCGUAGGUGAACCUGCGGAAGGAUCAUUUAACACGUAUCCAACGUUAAAACCCCCCCGUGAACCUUCAGUGGUGACCCGGUCGCCGGCCGUGUCGGCCUCUAGCGAUAGUGACUGCGCCACCCUUGACACUUUCAGACAAGAAUGCCAGGCCACUUGCCUCGCGCUACAAGCACACUCUUCGCAGAAGUCCCUGAAUCAAAACUGUGCGGCGAUGAUUUACCAGGGAUUGCUACUUUCAACAAAGCGGGCUCACGCCCCUUAAUAACCUUUGCAUGAAAACGGGCCUGCGCUUAAUUGUGCGGCCAUAAACCGAACAACUGUUAACAAUGGAUAUCUUGGUUCUC